GACGAACUCUGGCGGCGUGCUUAACACAUGCAAGUCGAACGGUAAGGCUCCAGCUUGCUGGGGUACACGAGUGGCGAACGGGUGAGUAACACGUGGGUGACCUGCCCUGCACUUCGGGAUAAGCCUGGGAAACUGGGUCUAAUACCGGAUAGGACCGCACCGUGAGGGUGUGGUGGAAAGUUUUUUCGGUGUGGGAUGGGCCCGCGGCCUAUCAGCUUGUUGGUGGGGUAAUGGCCUACCAAGGCGGCGACGGGUAGCCGGCCUGAGAGGGUGGACGGCCACAUUGGGACUGAGACACGGCCCAGACUCCUACGGGAGGCAGCAGUGGGGAAUAUUGCACAAUGGGCGGAAGCCUGAUGCAGCGACGCCGCGUGGGGGAUGACGGCCUUCGGGUUGUAAACUCCUUUCACCAUCGACGAAGGGUUCCUGACGGUAGAUGGAGAAGAAGCACCGGCUAACUACGUGCCAGCAGCCGCGGUAAUACGUAGGGUGCGAGCGUUGUCCGGAAAUACUGGGCGUAAAGAGCUCGUANGUGGUUUGUCGCGUCGUCUGUGAAAUUCCGGGGCUUAUCUCCGGGCGUGCAGGCGAUACGGGCAUAACUUGAGUACUGUAGGGGAGACUGGAAUUCCUGGUGUAGCGGUGAAAUGCGCAGGUAUCAGGAGGAACACCGGUGGCGAAGGCGGGUCUCUGGGCAGUAACUGACGCUGAGGAGCGAAAGCAUGGGGAGCGAACAGGAUUAGAUACCCUGGUAGUCCAUGCCGUAAACGGUGGGCGCUAGGUGUGGGUUUCCUUCCACGGGAUCCGUGCCGUAGCUAACGCAUUAAGCGCCCCGCCUGGGGAGUACGGCCGCAAGGCUAAAACUCAAAGGAAUUGACGGGGGCCCGCACAAGCGGCGGAGCAUGUGGAUUAAUUCGAUGCAACGCGAAGAACCUUACCUGGGCUUGACAUAUACAGGAUCGCGCCAGAGAUGGUGUUUCCCUUGUGGCUUGUAUACAGGUGGUGCAUGGUUGUCGUCAGCUCGUGUCGUGAGAUGUUGGGUUAAGUCCCGCAACGAGCGCAACCCUUGUCUUAUGUUGCCAGCACGUUGUGGUGGGGACUCGUAAGAAACUGCCGGGGUUAACUCGGAGGAAGGUGGGGAUGACGUCAAAUCAUCAUGCCCCUUAUGUCCAGGGCUUCACACAUGCUACAAUGGUCGGUACAGUGGGUUGCCAGUCCGUGAGGGCGAGCUAAUCCCGCAAAGCCGGUCUCAGUUCGGAUCGGGGUCUGCAACUCGACCCCGUGAAGUCGGAGUCGCUAGUAAUCGCAGAUCAGCAACGCUGCGGUGAAUACGUUCCCGGGCCU
rnacentral:rRNA from 1 species